GUGCACCAGGCGAGAAACCUCCGCAAUACACGAAAGUGUGACGGGGCCAUCCCGAGUGCCGUCCGCUGAGGACGGCUUUUCCCCAGUGUACAUAGCUGGGGGAAUAAGGAGAGGGCAAGCCUGGUGUCAGCCGCCGCGGUAAUACCAGCUCUCCGAGUGGUGGGGACGCUUAUUGGGCCUAAAGCAUCCGUAGCCGGCUGGGCAAGUCCUCCGUUAAAUCCAACGAUUCAAUCGUUGGGCUGCGGGGGAUACUGUCCAGCUUGGGGGCGGGAGAGGCCGGCGGUAUUCCCCGGGGUAGGGGUGAAAUCCUAUAAUCCCGGGAGGACCACCAGUGGCGAAGGCUGUCGGCUAGAACGCGCCCGACGGUGAGGGAUGAAAGCUGGGGGAGCGAACCGGAUUAGAUA
rnacentral:rRNA from 1 species